GGAUAUAACCAACGGAGACGCCAUGUCUAUAAUUUUCGGUACAAAAUAGUCUGCCGUUUUUUGCGGGGGAGGGGCACAUCAAAUGUAUACGUAACGUAAACAUAGCCAUGUCAGAUAAACGUCAGUCCAUACAUGUGGUUGACCAUUGGCCGCCUAUUUUCGACAGAGGGGAACGCCUGUUAAUGACCACUCCGUUGUUUUUUGCUUUCUAUUUAACACAAUUGGCACAAGAAGGUUGUCGAGUUAAACUUAUUUAAUUUAAUUAAACAACAGGAUUAACCAUAGGCUUCCCUUCUAAAGCUAACAAUAUGUUGUUUGCUGAAAUUCUGGACAUCAUGUUUCUGGUCUCGUUUGUAGCGCUGCCCAAAUGAGGUACAAUAACUGUAAAA